UACGUAGGGUGCGAGCGUUGUCCGGAAUUAUUGGGCGUAAAGCGCUUGUAGGCGGUUUGUCGCGUCUGCCGUGAAAUUUCGAGGCUCAACCUCGAACUUGCGGUGGGUACGGGCAGACUAGAGUGUGGGAGGGGAGACUGGAAUUCCUGGUGUAGCGGUGAAAUGCGCAGAUAUCAGGAGGAACACCGAUGGCGAAGGCGGGUCUCUGGGCCGAUACUGACGCUGAGGAGCGAAAGCGUCGGGAGCGAACAGG
rnacentral:rRNA from 1 species